ensembl:lncRNA
UUUAGUUUUAUACAAUAUUUAUUACAACUUCCUCGCCAACUGUACAUGUUCGCAUCAUAUCAACAAGUUUUACAAGGACAGGUAACUAUGAAAUCCAUCUGAUUAAAAUAGCAUGUUCUCUUAUCAAAUGACCGCGGACUUCCUCAUUCACGGUUUGUUUCUCCCAUACGGUGCUGUACAUAUCGUAUACAAGCAUCAAUAUAAACACAUGGAAAAUGGAAAAGGUUAUUUGGUAAUUCAGUUCAUGUAAAAAAACAAGUGUUCUUCCUAUGAAUAAAAAUACAGUGACCAAAAAACCUGCUGAUAAAUUCUGACUGAAAAGCCUAUUAUCAUUAUUAAACUAAUAUCUUCUCCUAGGAGGUUUAUUAUAGCCUGGUUAAACCAUACUGGAACGCUGAUCGCCAUUGUUUCAAACAUUCAGUCUGGUUUAACCAGGCAAUAAAUGUUUAUUGUCCCAUAGUUUCGGUUUCCAUGUCAAGACAGCACAAACUUGAUGUGGGACCAGGCUAGGAGACUAACUGAUGUGGGACCAGGCUAGGAGACUGAUGUGGGACCAGGCUAGGAGACUAACUGAUGUGGGACCAGGCUAGGAGACUAACUGAUGUGGGACCAGGCUAGGAGACUAACUGAUGUGGGACCAGGCUAGGAGACUAACUGAUGUGGGACCAGGCUAGGAGACUAACUGAUGUGGGACCAGGCUAGGAGACUAACUGAUGUGGGACCAGGCUAGGAGACUGAUGUGGGACCAGGCUAGGAGACUAACUGAUGUGGGACCAGGCUAGGAGACUAACUGAUGUGGGACCAGGCUAGGAGACUGAUGUGGGACCAGGCUAGGAGACUAACUGAUGUGGGACCAGGCUAGGAGACUUUUCCAGAGCUCCUCUGUCAUGAUUAAUGGCAAGUGGUUUUGAAACUAGCUCUUAGUUCCAAACUGCACCCUAUUCCCUAUAUAGGGCUCUGGUCUAAAGUAGUACACUAAGUAGGGUAUAGUGUUCCAUUUGGGAUGCAGUGGGGUAGUUUUACGUUUAUCGGGAGACGUGCAAAAACCAAACAGGACAGACAGUUAAGAGACACGUUGCCCUACCAAUCAUAUCAACACACGUCAGGAGACCAGUCUUUCACACAUGAAGAGUCAAACAAAGUUCAUCAGUUGCAUAAUAAGAUGGACAAAUAUAUUUUUGUUAUUAUGUGAAUAUUUUAAUUAAAAAAGACAACAGAAUCAGGAUCUACACUACUACAGCCCCUAAACCGUCUCUUCAGCAGCAGAGAAACACAUGUACACUACUACAGCCCCUAAACCGUCUCUUCAGCAGCAGAGAAACACAUGUACACUACUAAAAGCCCCUAAACCGUCUCUUCAGCAGCAGAGAAACACAUGUAGACUACUACAGCCCCUAAACCGUCUCUUCAGCAGCAGAGAAACACAUGUAGACUACUACAGCCCCUAAACCGUCUCUUCAGCAGCAGAGAAACACAUGUA